rnacentral:rRNA from 1 species
CCUACGGGAGGCAGCAGUGGGGAAUAUUGCGCAAUGGGCGAAAGCCUGACGCAGCGACGCCGCGUGAGGGAUGAAGGUCUUCGGAUCGUAAACCUCUGUCAGCAGGGAAGAACGGUCACUGUGCUAAUCAGCAGUGAAUUGACGGUACCUGCAAAGGAAGCACCGGCUAACUCCGUGCCAGCAGCCGCGGUAAUACGGAGGGUGCGAGCGUUAAUCGGAAUUACUGGGCGUAAAGCGCUCGUAGGCGGUAUGUCAAGUCAAGGGUGAAAUCCCCGCGCUCAACGUGGGAACUGCCUUUGAUACUGGCAGACUGGAGUGUGUGAGAGGAGAGUGGAAUUCCAGGUGUAGGAGUGAAAUCCGUAGAUAUCUGGAGGAACAUCAGUGGCGAAGGCGACUAUCUGGCACAUAACUGACGCUGAGGAGCGAAAGCGUGGGUAGCAAACAGGAUUAGAUACCCCAGUAGUC